CGCGCUACCAUGCAGUCGAGCGAACCUUCGGGUUAGCGGCGGACGGGUGAGUAACGCGUGGGAACGUACCCUCUUCUGCGGGAUAGCCACUGGAAACGGUGAGUAAUACCGCAUACGCCCUUCGGGGGAAAGAUUUAUCGGAGGAGGAUCGGCCCGCGUUGGAUUAGGUAGUUGGUGGGGUAAUGGCCUACCAAGCCUACGAUCCAUAGCUGGUUUUAGAGGAUGAUCAGCCACACUGGGACUGAGACACGGCCCAGACUCCUACGGGAGGCAGCAGUGGGGAAUCUUAGACAAUGGGCGCAAGCCUGAUCUAGCCAUGCCGCGUGAGUGACGAAGGCCUUAGGGUCGUAAAGCUCUUUCGCCAGAGAUGAUAAUGACAGUAUCUGGUAAAGAAACCCCGGCUAACUCCGUGCCAGCAGCCGCGGUAAUACGGAGGGGGUUAGCGUUGUUCGGAAUUACUGGGCGUAAAGCGCACGUAGGCGGAUUGGAAAGUUGGGGGUGAAAUCCCAGGGCUCAACCCUGGAACUGCCUCCAAAACUCCCAGUCUGGAGUUCGAGAGAGGUGAGUGGAAUUCCGAGUGUAGAGGUGAAAUUCGUAGAUAUUCGGAGGAACACCAGUGGCGAAGGCGGCUCACUGGCUCGAUACUGACGCUGAGGUGCG
rnacentral:rRNA from 1 species